AAUCCAUAACCUUUUAUAAUGUCAAAAACUCAUCAUGGGGAGGGUGGAAACAACUCACUCGUGUGGCUUUCAAAGGUUCUUAAUCAAUAAGCUCUGUUUAAAGAUAAAAUGUAUUUGGCGCUUUACUAUAAAAAAUCAAAUAAAUAAGAGAAGAAUUUCUCUGCUUAGACCAGGGUUAGACAAUUGGAACCCCUUCACACAUCACACAACUCAAAACUUCAACAGAGCACAGCUUGAAAGCCAUUGGCCAAACUCCCACUCUUCACUUCCACAAAUGAAGUCACCAUU